UACGGAGGGGGCGAGCGUUGUUCGGAAUUACUGGGCGUAAAGCGCACGUAGGCGGCGUGUCGAGUUAGGGGUGAAAGGCCUGGGCUUAACCUGGGAACUGCCCUUGAUACUGGCAUGCUAGAGUCCGGGAGGGGGUGGCGGAAUUCCCAGUGUAGAGGUGAAAUUCGUAGAUAUUGGGAAGAACACCGGUGGCGAAGGCGGCCACCUGGCCCGGAACUGACGCUGAGGUGCGAAAGCGUGGGGAGCAAACAGG
rnacentral:rRNA from 1 species